GCAGUCGGUGACGGGACACAGUGGUUGGUGACGGGACAGAGCGGUCGGUGACAGCCUCAAGGGCUUCAGCACCGCGCCCAUGGCAGAACCAGACCGACUCAGAUUCAGACUCUGAGGGAGGAGCCGCUGGUGGAGAAGCAGACAUGGACUUCCUGCGCAACUUAUUCUCCCAGACGCUCAGCCUGGGCAGCCAGAAGGAGCGUCUGCUGGACGAGCUGACCUUGGAAGGGGUGGCCCGGUACAUGCAGAGCGAACGCUGUCGCAGAGUCAUCUGUUUGGUGGGAGCUGGAAUCUCCACAUCCGCAGGCAUCCCCGACUUUCGCUCUCCAUCCACCGGCCUCUAUGACAACCUAGAGAAGUACCAUCUUCCCUACCCAGAGGCCAUCUUUGAGAUCAGCUAUUUCAAGAAACAUCCGGAACCCUUCUUCGCCCUCGCCAAGGAACUCUAUCCUGGGCAGUUCAAGUUUCCUCAUCUGUGAUCUGGGGAUAGCGGUGGUCUCUCCCCGACGCGGCUGCUGUGAUGGUUCCCUGGGGGUAAAACAGUCGCAGUGCCUAGAACAGUUCCUGGCAUGUGGCAGUGGCCUGUGGCUGUUCCCUACAGUCAUCAGCAGUGCUGUCG
rnacentral:sRNA from 1 species